CGAUUGUAGUUUUCAAAGUCUUAAGUGUUUAAGCUGUGUGUUUUUUUUAAUAAUUUGAGGUUUUAUCGAAGUAUCGUAUGUUUUGAAGUCGGGUGGUUCUACCGUGCCAGCCCCGUGCACCCUUGCCUACCACUUUCAAAAGAACCUGCGCAGAACCAUGGCUGUCUCGCGCACGUAGCGGUGAAGGGUGAUGGUGGGGAAGGGCCUGGAGCAGUGGUGGGGAUAAGUCGUUGGGGCGAGGUGUCUUUCCCCACCACUCUGACUCUCCUGCUGUCCUGCAUGCACGACUCAAACAGAGUCAUUGAUUGAGGUGCUGGUGAACUGAUUGAAGACUUAAAAAUGUUUUGUUAUUAGUGCGAGGUGUGAUAGUACGGACUGUUGUGAUAAAUUAACCACUGUUUAUGAUUUACCUACUUUAUAUGUUUUAAAAUAAAUG